rnacentral:rRNA from 1 species
GAUGAACGCUGGCGGCGUGCCUAAUACAUGCAAGUCGAGCGAACAGACGAGGAGCUUGCUCCUCUGACGUUAGCGGCGGACGGGUGAGUAACACGUGGAUAACCUACCUAUAAGACUGGGAUAACUUCGGGAAACCGGAGCUAAUACCGGAUAAUAUAUUGAACCGCAUGGUUCAAUAGUGAAAGACGGUUUUGCUGUCACUUAUAGAUGGAACCGCGCCGCAUUAGCUAGUUGGUAAGGUAACGGCUUACCAAGGCAACGAUGCGUAGCCGACCUGAGAGGGGGAUCGGCCACACUGGAACUGAGACACGGUCCAGACUCCUACGGGAGGCAGCAGUAGGGAAUCUUCCGCAAUGGGGGAAAGCCUGACGGAGCAACGCCGCGUGAGUGAUGAAGGUCUUCGGAUCGUAAAACUCUGUUAUUAGGGAAGAACAAAUGUGUAAGUAACUAUGCACGUCUUGACGGUACCUAAUCAGAAAGCCACGGCUAACUACGUG